GACGAACGCUGGCGGCGUGCUUAACACAUGCAAGUCGAACGGAAAGUCCCUGCUUUUGUGGGGUGCUCGAGUGGCGAACGGGUGUGUAACACGUGAGUAACCUGCCCUUUACUUUGGUAUAACUUCUGGAAACUGGGUCUAUUACCGGAUAGGAGCUCCUGCUGCUUGGUGGGCGUUGGAACUUUUCGGCGGUUGGGGAUCUACUCGCGGCUUCUCAGCUUGUUUGUGGGGUAGUGGCUUACCAAGGAUUUGACGGGUAGCCGGCCUGAGAGGGUGACCGGGGACAAGGGGACUGAGAGACGGAACAGAGGGCAACGGGAGGCAGAAGGGGGGAAGAUUGCACAAUGGGAGGAAGCAUGAGGAAGCAACGCAGCGAGCGGGAUGACGGGCUACGGGGAGUAAAAAGCAGUAGAAUGUGACGAAGCGUGAGUGACGGUAAUGGGUAAAGAAGCACCGGCUAACUACGUG
rnacentral:rRNA from 1 species